AGGAAGUCCAGCACUGUGCACACAGCGGCAUCACUGGCCCUCACCACGAACGGCACGCUCUGGCCCACGCUCUCACCCAAUCACGGCAAAUGCCGGCAGCUCCUGCAGGUCGAACGGGAAGUCCAUGCGGAAUUUGGUGCGGAAGAGAGCAGUGAUGGUGACUACAAGAGACAAAGAACAUGGAAUGUGGACGCCGGCUCACCUCCAAGGGGGGUCCCGAAACAGCAUCCCACCCCAACAGCACAUCCCACGGUCAGGAUGUCAGUAUAACAAUAGGGGCUCUACUGACACAUGGGAGAGGGCAUGAAAAAGAAAGAGAAGACCCCCGAGAAGAAAGUCAUGAACUGGCUGAGCGAAGCAGCACAGAUGCUGGCUAUGUGAACAAAAGGACCCUGUUUUAAACAGACGAAUAAGAGGAGGAAGGGGGGAAAAAGCAUAAACCGCUUUGACAGCCCUGUGACAGAAAGGCAGAAGGCGAAUAACAAGCAGACGAGAGGAGAUGGAACUGGGUCAAGAAGACGGUAACGUGAGAGA